UUCCAUGUUUUAAUUGGAAUAUUCUAGCAAAUCUUUCCCUAUCUUAUUUUAUUAAAGAUUUGGAAAUUAUUCCUUGUGGAAGGAAUACUUCACACACCUAUUUCCAUAUUGUUUGGGAGGAUUUUUAUUAAUUUUCUUGCUCCGUAUUAUUUUAUUCUGCUCCGUGAAAAUACCAAAUAAAAUCAUGGGCUAAUUAAAUAGCCAUGAUUUUCGAAAAUCCUCCUUAAUUCUUGCCCCUUAUUCACGCCAUUUCCCCUCCAUCAAAUCUCAAUCUUUAUUACAAUUAUUCUCCCAAAUAUUCUCUAAUUAAUUGUGGGAUAUUUUCAAGCUCUAUAAAUAAGAACCUAACCCUAACCUCACUAAACACACGCCUACACUCCCUCUCACACGCCCCCUCCCCUCUUCUUCACUCUCCCACACUUGUUCUUCCACUCUACUCAAGAUCCUUUCGAUUCGCCAAGAGUUUGUUGAAGAACCAAGAGUUUUAAACGUUUCUACCGAUUGUUUUGUUCAAGAAAGGUGAUAACUCGUGCGCAAAGCGUGAUAACAAAGGAAAGACAGUAGUUGAAACCGAAACGAUCGAGGUUGAGCAGCGACGAGCGGUUGGUGGUGUUGAGCAGAAAUAAUAAUAUGGUUGUUUUGAAACUUCGAGUGUCGUUGUGUCUUCACACAUGACUUCCCUCUUCUCUUGGAUGCUUCCGCUGUGAUAUUUUCUUUACGUACAUUUUUACUUAACUAUGAAUCUUUUUGAUUAAAUGUUGAGAACUCGUUACCCUUUUUAUUAAUGUCAAACCUUUGGUCUUUUCAAUUAUUUUAAUAUAAAUAUCCUUGGUCGUUUAA